UUUUCAUGUUAAAAUCUCAUAUGCAACGAUGGCAAGAUGAAGCAAGAAAUGAGGUUAAUUAACUGUAAAGUAUGCAAGGGUUCAGGAUUGAUAUUCUGCAAUAAAUGUGGAGGUUCUGGCUAUUCCCGUCGGCUAUGAGCUCUGAAAUUACUGUUAUAUCCAAAAACCAUCUGUUCUGAAAUAUGUAAGAUCUUGUAACAAUUUUACUGUCCAUAGUGUCUUUUUUCAGUGAAUCAUUUUAAUCAAGCUAAUCUGCGGCCCUUUGAGGUAUUGGCCAAUUGCUUUUGCAUAAAAUCAGUCAAAUUUUGUUCUAAUGUUAAAUUUC